CAUGAACUGUUGUACUUUGGUAGAUGACUUGCGCCUUUCAAGUCGGAUUACGUUUAUCCAUGUUGUCAUAAGACAAGUAGUAGCAAGCAAUCACGUGAUCAAACAUGGCACCGUAAUCAAACCAUCCUCAGUUCAUUUCCAUUCAUUGCUUAACAAGCUCAAUUCAGGUGAUGUGUAAAGAGCAAGUGUGAAACAAAAAAGAACACCACCAAAGAUUCAGGGUGUCACAUUUUAUCAUCAACACAGAUUCCUGAGCUCGCAUUAAUUUCGUGACACUUUUAGACUAGACCCUCACACUCUCAUUAAAUUGGUGACGCAUUAAUUUCACGAUAUACAGUAUCUAAAAUAGUUGAAACAUUUAGAAG